rnacentral:rRNA from 1 species
UACGUAGGGCGCAAGCGUUGUCCGGAAUUAUUGGGCGUAAAGAGCUCGUAGGCGGUUUGUCGCGUCUGCUGUGAAAACUCGAGGCUCAACCUUGGGCUUGCAGUGGGGUACGGGCAGACUAGAGUGCGGUAGGGGUGACUGGAAUUCCUGGUGUAGCGGUGGAAUGCGCAGAUAUCAGGAGGAACACCAAUUGGCGAAGGCAGCUCGCUGGGACGUUACUG